rnacentral:rRNA from 1 species
UACGUAGGGUGCAAGCGUUGUCCGGAAUUAUUGGGCGUAAAGAGCUCGUAGGCGGUCUGUCGCGUCGGCUGUGAAAACCCGGGGCUUAACCCUGGGCUGGCAGUGGAUACGGACAGACUAGAGGUAGGUAGGGGAGAAUGGAAUUCCCGGUGUAGCGGUGAAAUGCGCAGAUAUCGGGAGGAACACCGGUGGCGAAGGCGGUUCUCUGGGCCUUACCUGACGCUGAGGAGCAAAAGCGUGGGGAGCGAACAGG